rnacentral:rRNA from 1 species
UACGGAGGGUGCGAGCGUUAAUCGGAAUUACUGGGCGUAAAGCGCGCGUAGGCGGUUUGUUAAGUCGGAUGUGAAAGCCCCGGGCUCAACCUGGGAACUGCACCCGAUACUGGCCGACUUGAGUGCGAGAGAGGGAGGUAGAAUUCCAUGUGUAGCGGUGAAAUGCGUAGAUAUAUGGAGGAAUACCGGUGGCGAAGGCGGCCUCCUGGCUCGACACUGACGCUGAGGUGGGAAAGCGUGGGNAGCAAACAGC